rnacentral:rRNA from 1 species
GACGAACGCUGGCGGCGUGCCUAAUACAUGCAAGUAGGACGCAGUUGCGAACGUGAGAGUAACGCGUAGGUAACUACCUAUUAGAGGGGGAUAACUAUUGGAAACGAUAGCUAAUACCGCAUACUAGUAGAUGGACCUGCGUUGCAUUAGCUAGUAGGUAGGGUAAUGGCCUACCUAGGCAACGAUACAUAGCCGACCUGAGAGGGUGAUGGGCCACACAGGGGCCGAUACACGGCCCAGACUCCUACGGGGGGUAGACGUAGGGAAUCUUCGGCAAUGGGGGUAACCCUGACCGAGCAACGCCGCGUGAGUGAAGAAGGUUUUCGGUUCGUAAAGCGCUGUUGUUAAGGAAGCGGUACUUAACCAGAAAGGGACGGCUAACUACGUGCCAGCCGCCGCGGUAAUUC